CAGCUAACCUACAAAAUAGAAACUACGCUGUAAUCACAUUUUAAUGAGGUCAUUGAUUAUUAGACUAAUCUGAUAAUUAUGAAGAAUGGAAACACAUUUUAAGGGGGAACCAGUCUCCAUUUUUCUUCUGUAAAAUAAACGUAGGUGAGUAUACAGUUCUGCUAAACAAUUAUACAAGGCUCGCAGGAGGCAAACUGAUGUAUGUGACACAUAACUGCAGGGCCAGGUUUCUUCAUAACCACAGAGAUUCAUAGGUCUUCACAGGAGCUGUAUACAUAAAACGGUAGAAUAUUUUUAAGACUAUUUGCAAAGUUUUUUCCCUUUUUCAUUAUAAUGUAUACAAUGGAGCAAUAUAAAAUUCUGUUGUAAAAGUAUAUCCAUUUUCAAUGUCAUGUACGCUUAUUUUCAAUGACUACAAGUUUCCUAAGCAAAGGACUUUGAUUUCUAAGCAGAGUUGAUUUGUUGAUAUGGUGUAGUGCCUGAACCCAUCAAGUUUCUUAUACAAGUUUCUAACAAUAUCCUAUACUAGUAAUUAAAGGGGUUGUCCCCUUACGACAACUCAUCCCCUAUAUACUGGGGCCCUCAUUGAUCACUAGAACUGCAGCCCGUGUUUCUCCUGUCUGAAUGGAGGUACAGACACGCAUGAGCGAUGCCGCUCAAUUCAACUCUAGAGAUAGCCAAGAGCUUGUUACUUGUUACCCAUAUAGCUGAAUGAUACGGAAGUGUACCCCCAGCAGUUAGACCCCUGCAGAUCAGACACUUAUCCCCUAUCCUGUAGACAGGGUAUACGUUGUUUUUGUUCGCGGGCAAAACCAUUUUAAGGGAUUUGCCAAUGAACAAAAAUUAUAAUCUAUCACUAUCCAAUGUAUAAACGCUGGGGGUCCAUAGAAGUGAAUGGAGCAGGGCUCACGUUUGCACUAGGAGGUCCUAAGACACGUUUAUAACCUAUUUAUAACCUAUCCUGUGGAUAUAAGCGGAAGCGAUUUUUUAGCACUUACCUACUUAAUCACUAUAUACGCAAUGCUCACUGAUGGCGCUUUGUGUAGAUAUUCCAGUAUAUGGCAGUUCUCUUUCCUGUAUUAUCACUGAGAUUCUGCUAGGAGGACAGAGCUGCUGGGUAUGACAAGUGACUGGUUAUAUUACAGUUACAUUUACCCUGUAACUGGGGUUGCCGCAUCAGCUCCAGCAAGAGAGAGAAGCUGUAUUAUAUAUAGUUAAAUGUACAUUAACCCUUUAUCUGCUAUAUAGAAAGGAAUUUAAACAACCUCAAUACAAGAAACUCAGUUGAAUAGACUAUCCAAAAACAAAUCAAAAACAGACAUUAGUAGCAUAUCUGCAAUAGGGGGUCACAAUGGUUUGAGCUAAACAAUGGUGGAAAAUUGUAGCAAUGUCUGUGGUGAGACAGCUCCUUUAAAUGAAGUGGCUUUCAGCCCCUGGAAAUUUUGCACCAAAAGCUGAGAAUGGUAUAAAAUAACAAACUGAGUAACAUACACCUCACAAAUCCUCCACCCGUCCAUGCUGUUGCUUUCCAGGUCCCCGAGUCCUGGCCUCCAGUGUCUCAUCAUGAACACAUGACUGUUGCAGCCAAUCACUGGCUGCAGCAGACACCACUAAGUCACUGCCGAUAUGUCACCGCUGGAGGACAGUAUACACAAACCAGUAGGGAACUGGGAACAUGGGGACAGCGGCCUGUUAAGGCGAAUGUUACUAGGUUUGUUAUUUUAUAGCAUUCUGAGCUUUGAUUUAAAAAAAAAAUACAUUCAAGGGGCUGUACAGCAGUUUAGUAUAGUGUUGAAAGUUUUCAGCACUUAUCUGAACCAGAGUCUUAAUUGCCAUUACAAAGAUAACAACAUUGUUAGGUCUUAAGGUCACGUGACUGAUGAACGUGAUGCCGCUGACCUAGGAAGAGGCCACAGGAUAGGACAUCAACAUGCAAAUCCUGGACAACCACUUUAAAUAAAUCACCAACUAAUGGUAAGCUUGCCUUAUGGAGAAUCAACCCAGCACACAGUACAUAACAUUUAACACUCUGUUAGAUUCUACAAAAUACAAAGUGUUGCUUUAUGAGUGACAGUAUGACAAAAAAUUUGUAAAGGGCUGCUAAGGAGAAACUGUUAGAAUUAUGAAUGGUUUGAGGAAAGUGUCAUCAAAGGGAAAGCAGUGUAAAAUAAGAAUGUGCAGAUUUUGUACCACGCUUUUCAUACUAUAACCCCUUUGUGCCACAGCGAUUUUCCAUUUUUUACUCCCCACCUUCCUGGAGCUAUUUUUUUAUUUUUCCAUUCAAAUAGCCGUAGUUUUUUUGCGGGACACGUUGUACUUUCUAAUGGUAACAUUUAAUAUUGCAUACAAUGUAGGAAAAAAUUCCAUAUGGAUGGUAUUGGAAAAAAAGCAAUUCCUACAUAAAAAUGACUGUUAACUCCAUUAUCCAGGUCAGUUCAAUCACAGUGAUAUUACCUUUACGGUAUAUAGUUUUUCUGAUGUUUUAAUACUUUAAAAAAAACUUUGAAAAAAGUAAAACAUUUUUCUUUUCAUCAUCAUAUUCUGACCACUUUCUGAUCACUUUUUAUUCAAUUCUUGUGAGGUGAAGUGGCUAAUUGGCCAUUUUAUUUUUCGCUACAACUUUUACCUUAAAGGAUAAAUAUGUUUGUAUUUUAAUAGUUUGGGAAUUUUGGGAUGUGGCAAUAUAAGUGAUUUUUUUAUUGUUUAUUUGUUUUUAUUUUUAAUAUGGUGAAAGGGUGAUGAUUUGAAUUUGUAUUUUUAUUUUACAUAUUUUUUCAAAUAUUUUUUUUUUACAUUCAUUUUCAGUCUUCCAAGGGGACUUUAACAUGUGAUCAUCUGAUCCCUUCUCCCAUAGACUGCAAUGGUUUGACAUUGCAGCUUUUGGGAGAUUUACUAUGUUCUUAUGUAGCCCUGCCUUCAGAAGGCACAAGGCUGCCAUAGAAACCAAACGGCUCUCUUGAUCUCAGCGCGAGGGAGCAAUUUGGCACGGGAGUGCAGAUGUCGUGGUCGCAACUGACCACAGCAUCCGAGGGGUUAAAAGUCUAUGAUUUGUGUUAUCGCCGAUCACAGACAAUCCCUCUGAGUAUCUGUUGUAUAAAACAGCAGGCGCACAGUGGCUAUAGUGCCCAGUUUCUGAGUGGGCACCAUCUUUAAAGUCCCGUCAUCCGGUGUAAAUGUAUGCCUGAUGUCAUGAAUGGGUUAAAAGCUUUGACAUAGAAAUAAAUGAUUGCACAUAUAUUAGUGGUUAACUUGAGGGGGGGGGGGAUUAAUAAAAUCGCACAAAGUUUCAAGUUGCAGUCUUAAUUCUUUCGUUAAUUUUCAGGUCCCCUGAUAAUCAGUUUACAAACUGCUCCUAGCUUCAGACUUUUUUAAUGGAUCCGUCCCUUCCUGUUACAUAUGCUGGAUCUGUAUGUCAAGAAUGCUGAUGUCUGGACUCUUCACUAUAUCACACUGCAUUCCCCUUCCAUAGUCCAUGAGGGGUCUCUUCUCCAUUUUCCCUCCCUAAUGGUAUCUCUGUAAUGUCAGAAGAAGCAGCACAGCUAGCUAUGUUCAGAAGCUGCACAGACUCUACAGCAAAAGAAAUUGUUGAAAUUUAAAAUGAACAUUAUUUAUAAAAUUGAUUCAUUUUGUAUGUAUGAUGCAAAUGAACAGGUGUCCAUAUGUCGGAUCAGCUGCACUGGGGCCCAGCAUGGGAGGGAGCACAGUGCUCCAGAUUAGGGCCAAAAUGAUCACCAAUGUGACUGAAAAAUUGCACCAAAAGCUGUCCCUCUGUGGUGGCCAUCAAUAUAUGCGAUUUUCUGUCCUCCUCCAGUUGUUUCUGAUUAGGAUAUGGAGCAGGGGGCUUAGUAGGUGAGAUGCAGGCCACAGCAGUUAAAUUCAGGAGGGCAUGUGGGUCGCUGGCCGGGUGCAUGAGUACUUGAUUCUCACAGCUUUAAUUACCCCUGAGAGAGCAUUAUAUACCCAGCCAGUGGCAGAGAGAAGGGUUUGGGUGGCCCCAGGGCAUCGGCCCACCGGGAAAGUUCCGUGUAAGGUCUAUGGCCAAUCCUCCCAUGGGGAUAUUACUGAGGAGAGAGAAGGAAAGGGGAAAUUACAACUGGGGGGCACUGUACAUUACUACUGUGGAGAAGUGAGGGAGACAUUACUGCUGUAGGGUCACUGUGAGGGACAUUACUAAUGUAGGGCCACUGUGGCCGAUGUUACUGCUGUAGGGGCACUGUGGGGGACAUUACUACUGUAGGGGCACUGUGAAGGACAUUGAUAUUGGGCAGCACUGUAGGGGACAUUACUACUGCGGGGGCACUGUGAGAGACAUUGCUAUUGGGCACCACUGUGAGGGACAUUACUACUGUGGGGAACAUUGCUGUU